rnacentral:rRNA from 1 species
GAUGAACGCUGGCGGCGUGCCUAACACAUGCAAGUCGAACGGAGUGCCUAGGACAAACAUUUCGGUGGGCGUCUUAGGUAACUGAGUGGCGGACGGGUGAGUAACGCGUGGACAACCUGCCGUGUACAGGGGGAUAACAGCCGGAAACGGCUGCUAAUACCGCAUAUGCGCACAGUGCCGCAUGGCACAGGGCGGAAAACGUUAGUGGUACACGAUGGAUCCGCGUCUGAUUAGAUAGUUGGCGGGGUAACGGCCCACCAAGUCGACGAUCAGUAGCCGGCCUGAGAGGGCGGACGGCCACACUGGGACUGAGACACGGCCCAGACUCCUGCGGGAGGCAGCAGUGGGGAAUCUUGCACAAUGGGGGGAACCCUGAUGCAGCGACGCCGCGUGAAGGAAGAAGUAUUUCGGUAUGUAAACUUCUAUCAGCAGGGAAGAAAAAGGACGGUACCUGACUAAGAAGCCCCGGCUAACUACGUGCCAGCCGCCGCAGUAAAAC